AUACCAAUCAAGUCAAGUCAUGUUUUGACGGAUACAGACAGGGAGGACUCGAGGGUGUCUAUUUUAUUUCAUUUGCUCCCGCUCUCUGGUGUAUCUCUUCAGCCGAAAUGAUGUGUUCCUUUCCGUAGUUACGGCGGGCGGAGGGGAGGGAGGACUAUUUACAGACCGCAAACUUCCCCGCGAUGACUUGAUGGUUUCUAUGCAUUCGCUGCAGCUUUUGGGCGGUGAAAUCUGGAAGCAUCACAGAGACAGACAAAAGGUUAAAAAAAAGGAAACAAACUACAAAUGAGUUGCGGCACAUAAGUUAACGGAGUAUAUCAUAAAUUCCACAAAAAAAAGAAAAAAAAAGGAACUUUAAACUCUCCGUAGUCCCUCCCAUCCCGUCGUCCCUGGCCUGGUUGAUUUCCUCCCAUGGAAGUUUAAGAUGUAAGGUAACUUAGUAAGGGGCUCAAAAACGCCUUGUCUAUUCUUUCGCCUUAGGAGGUCUUAAUUUUGCCUUCUUCACUCAUCCAAGUUUUGUCGAAGUCAUUGGGGAAAUGAAUAGUCAACUAGUUACUGGUGCUGAAUUGCUUUGACGAAGCUGGGAUUGCAGGGAGCCCAGCAUCUCUCGCGCCUCUUGCCUCCUCAUCUGAUAAAUACAGCUAUAGUAUAGGAAAUGGAGGGGCAACAAGAAAGAUAAUUCCGUUUGAGCUAAAUACGACGGCAGGAACUUCAUCCAGAUCUCGAGAGAAUAACAAAUACCCUGAGCACG
rnacentral:sRNA from 2 species